rnacentral:tRNA from 1 species
UGCAUCGGCCGGGAAUCGAACCCGGGCCACCCGCGUGGCAGGCGAGCAUUCUACCACUAAGCUACCGAUGC